UACGAAGGGGGCUAGCGUUGUUCGGAAUUACUGGGCGUAAAGGGCGCGUAGGCGGCGUGUCAAGUCAGGCGUGAAAGCCCCGGGCUCAACCUGGGAACCGCGCUUGAGACUGGCAUGCUCGAGUUCGGGAGAGGAUGGUGGAAUUCCCAGUGUAGCGGUGAAAUGCGCAGAUAUCGGGAGGAACACCAAUGGCGAAGGCAGCUUGCUGGGACGGUACUGACGCUGAGACGCGAAAGCGUGGGGAGCAAACAGG
rnacentral:rRNA from 1 species